UGACCUCCUUAGUACCCUUCAGUGGGAAGUC
rnacentral:piRNA from 1 species